rnacentral:rRNA from 1 species
UACGGAGGGUGCGAGCGUUGUCCGGAAUCAUUGGGCGUAAAGGGCGCGUAGGUGGCCCGGUCAGCGUGCGGUGAAAGCUCGGGGCUCAACCCCGAGUCGGCCGUGCGAACUGCUGGGCUUGAGCACUGUAGAGGCAGGCGGAAUUCCGGGUGUAGCGGUGGAAUGCGUAGAGAUCCGGAAGAACACCGGUGGCGAAGGCGGCCUGCUGGGCAGUGGCUGACACUGAGGCGCGACAGCGUGGGGAGCAACAGG